rnacentral:rRNA from 1 species
AUACGGAGGGUGCAAGCGUUACUCGGAAUCACUGGGCGUAAAGCGCGCGCAGGCGGGCUGAUAAGUUGGAUGUGAAAGCCUACGGCUCAACCGUAGAACUGCAUCCAAAACUGUCAGUCUAGAGUGUGGGAGAGGAAGAUGGAAUUAGUUGUGUAGGGGUAAAAUCCGUAGAGAUAACUAGGAAUACCAAAAGCGAAGGCGAUCUUCUGGAACACUACUGACGCUGAGGCGCGAAGGCGUGGGGAGCAAACAGGAUUAGAAACCCCAGUAGUCC